rnacentral:sRNA from 1 species
CCUCGCGCUCUCUCUCGCGCUCGCUCGCUCGCUCCAGUAUGUAAAUGUGUAAUAGAAGCCAAAUAUGGAGCAGUUGGCUGCCGCCGCCGCAGCUCAAGGAUCCGACUUCAUGGGGGGGGGGGGGGGAGAGGCACCCUCUGGCAGGCGGCCCGGCGAGCCGCACAGAGCACGGCGAGCGCACGGCGCGGCUGCCGGCCCGCGCCCUUAACCCUUCUAUGCACCCGGGCUGGGGCAGCGCUCGCUCCAGGGGAGGCCGGGUGUCUCUCCGCAACUGCGACUCCAGAUCCCGGACACCGACCGGAGGGAACUGUGCCUUCCAGCUAACUGUGGACCAUUCAUCUCAUCUCAAGUGAGGUAACCCGUGCACUGAGCAGUGGAUGGUGGUUCUCGGGAAUCCAAGGCGAAAGAACUUCCCACCUUGGCCCGGUGGCUAAACGCAGACGCGGAGUCCCCACCCGCCCCCUCCGGCUACACCUCAGCCGGGUGUGAGCUCCGUGGGAAGGAAUCUUCUCCGGAGGAGUGCACCUUGCCAACAGGUGUGGCAUCCGAAGGAAGAGCCCGCACCUCCCCAGGAGGGUCGCUCGGUGUGGCGAUCUCUUUGCUGCAGAUAAUUCUUGAAGACCAGUAGGUGUCAGGCCAGCAUCUGACCUCUUUCAGGUGCUUAAAACUAAGAGUCUGGAAACUUGAUCCCUUGGUCUCGCUGGAAGCCACUACUAUUGACUGUAGCUGGAUUUGAGAGACCUUUUGGCUCAGUUUACGUAGGACCUAACAGUUAGUCACUAUCUGAAGCAGCGUACAGAGUCACCGAGAGAAACGUGUGAGCUUUUAAACUACUGUAUUGUGGAGCCCGCACUUCAGAAGUUAAAAAAGAAAUGCCGUGUGUGUGUGUGUGUGUGUGUGUGUGUGUGUGUGUGUGUGUGUGUGUGUGUGUGUGUAGGAUACAAAUCUAUUCUCAGGUUUUGAAACACCGUGCACACAUCCACGGUUGUUUAAAUAGAACUACAACUGUUCUCUUCCCCCUCCCCGCCCCCACCGCCCCUCUCCCCCGUAACUGUGUUGUUCACUUAAAGAUCCAUGAUUGUUAGACUUCAUAUGCUAAAGUGACAUUACUGGUCUCCUUACAGCCUCUAGUGGACGGUUAAAGUGAGUUUCCUGUGGAGGCUCUGUCUAGUUUUGUUUUCCCUUCUGCACUUUCUCCAGGUGAAGGUUAAUAGUUCAGAGCUUAACUGACUGCUAUCUUUCACUCCCUCUUGGUAAAGCUGUCUUUGAAACUGAACAGAAGCUUGUUGGCUGCGUGUGGAAGAGAGGCGUCUGCUUUGUGCUACAGGGUUUGGUCCAGAUGCUCAUGGCUGGCCCACCAGUACCUCUCAGAAACGCACCCUGAAAUGCCAUGACACUGAGAGCCACAGACUACACUGGUUGCGAUGGCUGAGAGGUAAGAGGGCAGUUGUAUAACUCUUGAGCAAGGUUAGUCUUGCAAGCUUCUGUUAGCCUUUCACCUUUGUAAACCAGACCAGAUCUGAAGACAAAAUAUGCCUCAGCUCAGUGCCCCGCCUACCAAAGACCAUCAAAGUUGGAGUGGUAAACAUUUAUUUAUUUUGGUCUCUUUAGAAUUGUUAAAAAGUCUUGCCUCCCACGGUAGGGAAGUGCGUGCCAAGUUUCUGCUUGGAACAAUUUGUUAUGGCUAUGCGAUAAUCCUGGAAAGUUUGAAUUUUUAAUGGAAAUCCUGACGCCAGACCGUGAACCAUGCGCUCCUACAGAAAGGGUGUUAUCCUAUAUGUCCUUUUAAAAGCUGAGCAAGCUGGGGUGGUUACGGAACAAAUACACUUGGCCAAGAUUGGGCUUCUCAAUAAGCCUGGGGAGAAAUGAACCAGAAUGAUAAAGCAACGUAGAAACAAAAGUGAAAGCCGUCCACACAAUAGACUCUGGGGUCAGUGGGCCACACCCUAGCUGAAGUCCCGAGGCUCUGUGUACAGCAUACAGACACAGACCUGCUUCAGGACCACGGGCUCGGUCUACCCAACUGCAGCAGCACAGGCUUCCUGGUGGUGAAACGACAUCACCAAUGCUCAAGAAUGGAGUGACACAGAGUUGAAGGUCAAGUCACGUGACAAAGGAGCGCACAUUUGGGUUUUGCCAUCUUGCUCGAUCUGAAUCUAAGCUCUUCUUCUUGGUGCUCAGUCUGGAAGGAAAACAAAAGGCCGUCAUACAAAAGCACCGGAAGAGGAGAAAAGGAACAGAAGGCGAUGGUGGUCGGACGUGAUGCCUAUGGAAUCGGACAGGUAAAACUGGGCAGAGAACAAAGGUGUGUGGGCCUGGGCGGUGAGAAUUAGGAGUGAGGCUCAGAACCCCGCUGCUUUAGAAAAUAACCAGAAUCCGCAUCGGUGGGGAAGCCUGUGAGAACUUCCGGAACCAGGACGCAUACCCAAUCGGAAUCUGCCUUUUAACAAGAGUUCCAGGAAUUUCUGUACGUGGUUGUACCAGUACCAGAUCUGAUUGGUACCACUGGCCUUGGGCAUAUUAGCAGAGGGGACUGUUUUGUCUAUGGAGGGAUCUGGCAUUUCCAUUGCUCCAGGAUGACUUCCACUUUCAAUAUUCUCUUUAGCACCGUGACCAAAGCCGGUAGUUUCACUCUGUCUGGGUUUCUCUGUUCUCUGAUCUCCGCAGAGAGCCCAUGGACCUCUGCAAUCUUGGCUUGGGUCUUGUGCCUCUCCAAACUGCUGAGCUUCCGGUAGAAAGUGGAUGUGACUCUGCACCCCGCCCCCCUCUAGGGGAAGGACAGCCAUGUCUGGAUUGAUAACCGGAAGCCAUGACUGAUUCUGACUUUUGUCACCCAGAUUUCAUUCAACACCGCUGACUAUUAGGUUUGUCCCCUUUCCAUUGACAGGUGCUUCCCUUGACCCUGCGGGCUCUGGACUCAGCACCCCCUACCAAAGGGGCAGAGGCCAGGAGAGGCCAAUAGAAACAUAUCACAGCACCUUCUCGCUCUUAGCGAGUCCAGGAUCCCACGUACCUGUUCUGCAAGACCAUGCAAUUCCAAAGAUGGUCUUUUCUGCCCUUUAAGUUAAAAGCAGCUUAAGAAUAAAAGAGGGUAUAAAACCAGCCCAACCAUUUUGCAUAGCUGCUGUAUUGUCCCCCCUGCCUUCCCUACUGAGGACUUUGCUGUCUGAUAUAUUUUAUAAAAACAGUCCAAUUCCCGCAGAAGCUUCAUAAUUUCUCCGGUUGCUACACACCUAGUUCAUUCUGACUGCUGAUAUUUACCUCCCGCCAUGCUCAAUUUAUAGCAGUUCGUAAAUUACAUCAAGUACAGAGUGCAUCUGCUACUGGGGUUUAAGCCAGGAUAAAACGGCAUGGAAGGCUCAACAAGGCUGACAGUUAAGGAAGGGUCCUUUCAAGUGACUAUUACUCCCUCCUAAUGACUACUAAUGAACUCACCGUGUUGUUCUCUUUCUUUUUUUCCUCCUUUUAUUGUAUGUGGGCAUGUAUGUAUGCGUGUUCCCGUGUAUGUGGGUAUGCGUAUAGUGUGUGCAACUGUCUGCAGAGGCAUCGAGUGUCUCCCCUGAGCCUCGAUGCUCUUCCUCCUUACUCUUUGAGGCAGAGUCUCUCAAUCAAACUCAGAGCUUGAUGAUCUGGUCAUCUUGCUCCAGGGAGCCUCUGCUUCUGCCUUUCAAGGCUAGAAUUAUGGGCCAGCGUGAUGACCUGGCAUUUAUACAGGUUCUAGAGAUCCGAACUCCCAUCCUUCUGCUUGUACAAGGAACACUUUUACUACUGAGCCAUCUCCCAAGUCUGAAUUAACUGUGUCUUUAAGAAUGUUUUAUCAUUUCCAUUCCUAGGAACUAUUCUGGUGAUUCGGAAAAAAAAAAAGAGGAAGAGAAAGCAAACAGAAGUGUGGCGGCACCCCAGUAGCAAAGCAAUGGUGUGGGUGUUGUUUCUAUUACUUACAUACAUAACGCUUCUCACAGAAUCCAAAUGUCUUACAAAAGGAAGCACAACACAAAUUCCGAUAGAGAUGCCACAACACAGAGCGCUACAAAGACAACAAUUACCCAAGGAAAUGUAAAUCUGGUAGAAAUCGUUUACAUAGAAAGAAUGGGUAAGUAUGCACAGGCUCAGUCUGCAUGUCCAGAUGUAGUCACACGGGGCAGCACUGGUGCGUUUGGAAAAGAAGUACAGUUGGCUGGCCCUCGGGAGCUGUGGGUUCCAUUCCUGUAGUCAACCAAACAGAGCUAACGUUGCACCUGUGUUGAACGCGUUCAGACUUUUGUCUUCGUGUUACUCCUUAAACAACACAGUAGAACAGCUUGCGUAGUAUUUACAUUGUGUGGGGGCCGUGCGACUCAACUCAAGAGAUGGUUUAGCGUAUCUCGGAGGAAGUGCAUGGUUCCACACAAGUGCUAAAGAGUGUUACAUGGGACAUUGCACACCUGCAGACUUGGCUGUGGGCAAGGUCUUAGAACCAAUGCCCCAGUGAUACCGAAGAAUGAUUAUGAUGUCAAGACAGAGGUAAGGUAUAGUAACUAAAUUAUCCAUGUCUAAAAAAUCUCUGAACAAGAGAUACAUGCUUGGUUAUGAUGGCACUUCAGUUGCCAAAGUCGCAGAAAACCUCGCUGAAUUAGUAGAGCAGCAAAGAUGGGUAUAUGUGUGAAUGUGUGUGUGUGU